GUGGGGAAUCUUGCGCAAUGGGCGAAAGCCUGACGCAGCCAUGCCGCGUGAAUGAUGAAGGUCUUAGGAUUGUAAAAUUCUUUCACCGGGGACGAUAAUGACGGUACCCGGAGAAGAAGCUCCGGCUAACUUCAUGCCAGCAGCCGCGGUAAUACGAAGGGGGCUAGCGUUGCUCGGAAUUACUGGGCGUAAAGGGCGCGUAGGCGGACAGCUUAGUCAGAGGUGAAAGCCCAGGGCUCAACCUUGGAAUUGCCUUUGAUACUGGCUGUCUUGAGUUUGGGAGAGGUGAGUGGAACUCCGAGUGUAGAGGUGAAAUUCGUAGAUAUUCGGAAGAACACCAGUGGCGAAGGCGACUCACUGGCCCAAUACUGACGCUGAGGCGCGAAAGCGUGGGGAGCAAACAGGAUUAGAAACCCUAGUAGUCC
rnacentral:rRNA from 1 species